rnacentral:rRNA from 1 species
GACGAACGCUGGCGGCGUGCUUAACACAUGCAAGUCGAACGGUAAGGCUCCAGCUUGCUGGGGUACACGAGUGGCGAACGGGUGAGUAACACGUGGGUGACCUGCCCUGCACUUCGGGAUAAGCCUGGGAAACUGGGUCUAAUACCGGAUAGGACCAUGGUGUGGAUACUGUGGUGGAAAGUUUUUUCGGUGUGGGAUGGGCCCGCGGCCUAUCAGCUUGUUGGUGGGGUAAUGGCCUACCAAGGCGGCGACGGGUAGCCGGCCUGAGAGGGUGGACGGCCACAUUGGGACUGAGACACGGCCCAGACUCCUACGGGAGGCAGCAGUGGGGAAUAUUGCACAAUGGGCGGAAGCCUGAUGCAGCGACGCCGCGUGGGGGAUGACGGCCUUCGGGUUGUAAACUCCUUUCACCAUCGACGAAGGGUUUCUGACGGUAGAUGGAGAAGAAGCACCAGCUAACUACGUG